rnacentral:lncRNA from 1 species
CAGAUUGUGCCUCCUCCAGAAGAGAAGGAGAUGACCAAGAUCUUUCUGAAAACUUGAGUUCAUUUUAUUAUGAGAGGAUGAUUGCUAGCGCUCCUUCUGACAUCACUAAGAUGGUGAAUAUGGGGAUGCGUCUAGAAGAAGGAGUUAGGGAAGGGCGCGUGACCAGAGAAGAAGGCUCUUCUGCCAAACGUUAUGGGGCAUUUGCGAAGAAGAAAGAUGGAGAGGCA